rnacentral:rRNA from 1 species
GGGGAAUAUUGCGCAAUGGGGGGAACCCUGACGCAGCAACGCCGCGUGAAGGAAGAGGGCCUUCGGGUUGUAAACUUCUUUGAUCAGGGACGAAGGAAAUGACUGUACCUGAAGAACAAGCCACGGCUAACUACGUGCCAGCAGCCGCGGUAAUACGUAGGUGGCAAGCGUUGUCCGGAAUUACUGGGUGUAAAGGGCGUGUAGGCGGGGAGGUAAGUCAGAUGUGAAAUUCCAGGGCUCAACCCUGGAGCUGCAUCUGAAACUAUCUUUCUUGAGUGCUGGAGAGGAAAGCGGAGUUCCUAGUGUAGCGGUGAAAUGCGUAGAUAUUAGGAGGAACACCAGUGGCGAAGGCGGCUUUCUGGACAGUAACUGACGCUGAGGCGCGAAAGCGUGGGGAGCAAAC